GACGUAGGGGGCCAGCGUUGUUCGGAAUUACUGGGUGUAAAGGGUUCGUAGGCGGUGCGGCAAGUCGGGAGUGAAAUCUCUGGGCUUAACCCAGAGGCUGCUUCCGAAACUGCUGUGCUUGAGUGUGGGAGAGGCGCGUGGAAUUGCAGGUGUAGCGGUGAAAUGCGUAGAUAUCGAGAGGAACACCUGCGGCGAAGGCGGGUUGCUGGGCCGACACUGACGCUGAUGCGCGAAAGCCAGGGGAGCGAACGGG
rnacentral:rRNA from 1 species